CAAUCGUUGUCAAACGUGAUCUCAAUAAACAAAUAGAAUAUGGAGAGAACGAAUGGCAGAUGGAACUUUCGCAGCAGCCCUGUUUCUGAUCGGAUUAUUCGAUACAGGAACCAACUACUGCGGAACGGAAGCUGGCUGCUUCGGGCGCACUGACGUGCAACCGAGAUUUUCGAUUUCCGGUGGCCAAGUGCUGCCGCGACAAGCGAAAAAGGCCAACGAAGUAUACCUACGAUACGAUCUCGGUCGCAAGCGCGGUCCCUUUGGGAGCGCGGCAGGACUGUCGAUCGGAGAGAACGGCGAAACAUGGAUCGGGUUCGGCACUACGCUGAACUACGAUAUCGGACAAACGCCGUUGUUUGUCGAAUUGCACGCCAUGCCGGGAGUUUACUUUCCCAAUGGCGGUUUUGAUCUCGGCGGACCGAUCGCUUUCAGAUCGGGCAUCGAGGUGGGCUACGAGAACGACGCCGGUUGGCGCUUCGGACUCAGCUAUGACCACAGAUCGAACGCAGGUAUAUACAAGAACAACCCUGGGAUCGAAACCGUACAGUUUCGAGUAUCGGUCCCUCUGAAAUAGGUCUGCAAGCGCAGAGCUAGGUUGUCAUUAGUGUCCAGUCUUGUGACGGCGUACCUUUUGUAUAAUGGGUCAUCGACUUGGUCUAUCUAGCAAGCUUAAGCCGUUAGGUGUAGGCGCAGCGAAAGCGAGUCUUAAUAGGGCGAAUGAGUUUGAUGGAUCAGACCCGAAACCGAGUGAUCUAGGCAUGGCCAGGUUGAAGGUAAGGUAACACUUACUGGAGGACCGAACCCACAUCCGUUGAAAAGGAUCGGGAUGAGCUGUGCCUAGGGGUGAAAGGCCAAUCAAACUCGGAGAUAGCUGGUUCUCUGCGAAAUCUAUUUAGGUAGAGCGUCAUCCGAAUACCCUCGGGGGUAGAGCACUGGAUGGGUAAUGGGGCCCCACAGGCUUACUGAUCCUAACCAAACUCCGAAUACCGAGGAGUACUAGAUGGCAGACACACAGCGGAUGCUAACGUCCGUUGUGAAGAGGGAAACAACCCUGACCUACAGCUAAGGCCCCUAAUUCAUGGCUAAGUGGGAAAGCAGGUGAGACGACCAAAACAACCAGGAGGUUGGCUUAGAAGCAGCCAUCCUUUAAAGAUAGCGUAACAGCUCACUGGUCUAAAUAAGUUGUCUUGCGGCGAAGAUGUAACGGGGCUCAAGCCAUGAGCCGAAGCUUAGGAUGCAUUUAUUGCAUGGUAGCAGAGCGUAGUGUGACAUAGUUCCAUGUCUCCUUAGCCCUUCGGGGUAUUGGAGACGCGGAGCUUUCUGUGAAGCGGGCCUGUGAGGGAUCCCGUGGAGAGAUCACUAGUGAGAAUGAUGACAUGAGUAGCGACAAAGAGUGUGAGAGACACUCUCGCCGAAAAUCCAAGGGUUCCUGCUUAAAGCUAAUCUGAGCAGGGUAAGCCGACCCCUAAGGCGAGGCCGAAAGGCGUAGUCGAUGGGAACCAGGUUAAUAUUCCUGGGCCAGAUGGAAGUGACGGAUCUCGAGGGUAGUUCAUCCUUAUCGGAUUGAAUGGGCUGCUUAGAGGUCCCUGGAAAUAGCUCCAUCGCUAGAUCGUACCCUAAACCGACACAGGUGGAUAGGUAGAGAAUACCAAGGCGCUUGAGAGAACUAUGUUGAAGGAACUCGGCAAAAUACCUCCGUAAGUUCGCGAGAAGGAGGCCCGGUUUCUAGGCAACUAGAGGCUGGGGGCACAAACCAGGGGGUGGCGACUGUUUAUUAAAAACACAGGGCUCUGCGAAGUCGUAAGACGACGUAUAGGGUCUGACGCCUGCCCGGUGCCUGAAGGUUAAAAGGAGGGGUGAGAGCUCUGAAUUGAAGCCCAGGUAAACGGCGGCCGUAACUAUAACGGUCCUAAGGUAGCGAAAUUCCUUGUCGGG
rnacentral:rRNA from 1 species